rnacentral:tRNA from 1 species
AGCAAAGAAGUAAAAAAUUUACACUUAGUUUCGACCUAAGCAUUAAGGUAACCCUCAUGCUU